CAGGCGGCCUGUCUGUGACGUCACGACGCCGGUCACGCCUUUCCCAGCGGCGCAGGCCCUUGAAACCUGGAGGUCGGCCCUGCGAUUCUGAGGAAUAGAACUUGCUGCUCCCGCAGCGCGAGAUGCGAUGACUUGAGGAACUCCGAGAGCACCCCAAGGGCCACUGAGGAGGGCUGUCUGAAGGAAUGCCGUCAGUCUGUGAAAACACCUCUCAACUUCGACUCAUCCCUGAAGAUGAGAAACCGUGGCUUGGUAGCUGUCCCUAGGAGGAGAACCAGGCACCUUCUCUGCAAGAGUGAAUCUACCCCAACAUCCUCUGCAACUCAAAUCUUGUCUUAAGUGUGAGUGCCUUUUUCCUUUCCAUGCUUCCAAAUCAGCAUUCCCAGCCUUCCUGCAAAGAAAUGGGUGCAGAACUGCAAGUGGAAACGCCUUCCCCCUUCCUCAGAUCAUCAUUCCCUCUGCCUCCUCCUCUCAUGUCCACCUGCCACACUCUGAACCUUAUCCAACAGGCCUGGGGCUUUCUGGAACAGAGUAAAACCCAAGGCCAGGUGGUGUCUCUGCAGCGACACCAGUGCUUCUGCCCCAGGAUGCACCGCCACGAGGUCUGCACAAAACCCUCAGAAUAACCCCUGCUUUGAAAGGCAGCCGGCCGCUCUGCCCAGCUCACUCGAGAGGCUGCAGGGCCAAGGAGUCCGCUGUACUCCCAGCAUCACAGGAGCGACCUAACACGUUGUGUCAGAGAAUCCCAGGGAUAGGAAAUGUCCGGACAGAAUUUUCGGAUCAUGAGGCCCCACACUCACCAAAUUGUGAAUGCUUAGACGCACAGAAUAGUGGAAUCUAGAAUUUGAGAGGCAUAAUUUAACACUCCCUUUGGUAAAUGAACAAGCUCAAGGCCAGAGUGAUUGAUUUUCCGAAGGAGUGACUCACCCACGGGGGUGGGGGGGUGGUGGAUUUCCUGCUCCCCACCCACCAGCUUCCCCUCACCCUCACCCAGCCCUGCUCUCUCCUCCACCAGAGCUCAGGACCCCACCGCUCACCACCUCCUUAGAAAACCCACUCCAGUUCUCGGGGUUUCAUUAGACAGCUUUAAUAACUCACACGACCAUUUCUUAAACAAACGUAAGCGUGCUCAAUCUCUCAAAACUUAUACAAACAAAAUUCAUUCCUCUCUAACCACCACCCCUUCCUCCUUCCUUUCACUGUUAAGCUUCUUGAAAGUUUCUCCCACACUUGCCAUCUCUACUACUCACCUCCCCUUCUCCCCACUGCCAUCUCUCCACGGCUAAUUUUGUCUCCACCAUUCCUCGGGGUUCACAGUGGCUUCUUUACUUCUAAACUCAGGGGACACCUUUCAGUCCCCUGUUUGACUGCCCUGCAGCAGCUGAGCCCGGUGGCCAUUCCCACUGUCACUGCCAUGACAUCACAGCCCCAGGCUUCUCAGAUGUCUCUGCCUGCUGCGUCUCCGCUCGCUCUGAGGGGCUCCCUCCCAGCCCUCUCCUCCUCCUCCUCCUCAUCAUCAUCAUCAUCAUACUCCUGCUGAGUGAUCGCAGCCAUCCUCAGGGCCGAUUUGUUACAACUUCCUAGGUGUUGCCCUGAAACUCAGUGUUUCCUUCUGAGUCCUGGAUCGAUGUAGCCAGAGGACUGUAUCCUUCACUAAAUGGGGAGCCCGUGGAGGGUGGGGAUCGGAGGCCCAGGCACUGAGCAGGUGUUCGGGAAAUGGAAACAGUGAGAUGAGACUCGUCGACCUGCCAUCCAAGGGUUCUCCGCAUCAAGUGCACAUCUCAGGGAAUGCCCGAGGGGGGACUCACGGAACUGCAAGCUUUAGAAGCACAAGUCAGAGGAAAUGUAAGAUCAUCUAUAACCAAACCCCUCACUGUGCUGAUAAGGAAACUGAGGCCCCGAAGGGUUAAGUGACUUGUCCAAGGUCGCACAGCAAGUCUGUGGCAGAGCACAUCAGCAGCUCACAUAGGAAAAGACACCUUGGGGUUUUGCUUCCCGGGAUGACAGUGCAGAGUAAAAGGUAGAAAAAUAGGAUGGACGUGAUGUGCACAGGAGGCCAUGGCGAAUGUGAGCCCAAGCGUUAAGUCCGGAAAGUUCAAAGGUACAAUGCCCUGCGCAAAUCUUACUCGAUUG